rnacentral:rRNA from 1 species
CUCGGAGGGCAAGUCUGGUGCCAGCAGCCGCGGUAAUUCCAGCUCCAAUAGCGUAUAUUAAAGUUGUUGCAGUUAAAAAGCUCGUAGUUGAAUUUCGGGAUCAGUACGCUGGUCAUGCCUUUGGUAUGCACUGGUGUCACUGGUUUCUCCCUUCUGAAGAACCGUGAUGUCAUUAAUUUGGUGUCGCGGGGAAUCAGGACUGUUACUUUGAAAAAAUUAGAGUGUUUAAAGCAGGCUCACGCUUGAAUACAUUAGCAUGGAAUAAUGAAAUAGGACGUUUGAUUCUAUUUUGUUGGUUUCUAGGAUCGACGUAAUGAUUAAUAGGGAUAGUUGGGGGCAUUAGUAUUCAAUUGUCAGAGGUGAAAUUCUUGGAUUUAUUGAAGACUAACUACUGCGAAAGCAUUUGCCAAGGAUGUUUUCAUUAAUCAAGAACGAAAGUUAGGGGAUCGAAGACGAUCAGAUACCGUCGUAGUCUUAACCAUAAACUAUGCCGACUAGGGAUCGGAUGAU